GCCCUCGUAGCCCAACGGCAGAGGCAGGCGACUUAAAAUCGCUGUGUUGCGGGUUCGACUCCCGUCGAGGGCA
rnacentral:tRNA from 1 species